rnacentral:rRNA from 1 species
AGAGAUCAUGGCUCAGAAUGAACGCUGGCGGCAUGCCUAACACAUGCAAGUCGAACGAAGCCUUCGGGCUUAGUGGCGCACGGGUGCGUAACGCGUGGGAAUCUGCCUUGGGGUUCGGAAUAACUCCCCGAAAGGGGUGCUAAUACCGGAUGAUGUCUACGGACCAAAGAUUUAUCGCCCUGAGAUGAGCCCGCGUAAGAUUAGCUAGUUGGUGGGGUAAAGGCCUACCAAGGCGACGAUCUUUAGCUGGUCUGAGAGGAUGAUCAGCCACACUGGGACUGAGACACGGCCCAGACUCCUACGGGAGGCAGCAGUGGGGAAUAUUGGACAAUGGGCGAAAGCCUGAUCCAGCAAUGCCGCGUGAGUGAUGAAGGCCUUAGGGUUGUAAAGCUCUUUUACCCGGGAUGAUAAUGACAGUACCGGGAGAAUAAGCUCCGGCUAACUCCGUGCCAGCAGCCGCGGUAAUACGGAGGGAGCUAGCGUUAUUCGGAAUUACUGGGCGUAAAGCGCACGUAGGCGGCUUUGUAAGUCAGAGGUGAAAGCCUGGAGCUCAACUCCAGAACUGCCUUUGAGACUGCAUCGCUUGAAUCCAGGAGAGGUGAGUGGAAUUCCGAGUGUAGAGGUGAAAUUCGUAGAUAUUCAGAAGAACACCAGUGGCGAAGGCGGCUCACUGGACUGGUAUUGACGCUGAGGUGCGAAAGCGUGGGGAGCAAACAUGAUUAGAUACUCUGGUAGUCCACGCCGCAAACGAUGAUAACUAGCUGUCUGGGCACUUGGUGUCCAGGUGGCGCACCC